rnacentral:rRNA from 1 species
GUAAUUGCCCUUAAGUAGCGGCGAGUGAAGCGGCAAAAGCUCAAAUUUGAAAUCUGGCACCUUCGGUGUCCGAGUUGUAAUUUGAAGAUUGUAACCUUGGGGUUGGCUCUUGUCUAUGUUUCUUGGAACAGGACGUCACAGAGGGUGAGAAUCCCGUGCGAUGAGAUGCCCAAUCCUAUGUAAGGUGCUUUCGAAGAGUCGAGUUGUUUGGGAAUGCAGCUCUAAGUGGGUGGUAAAUUCCAUCUAAAGCUAAAUAUUGGCGAGAGACCGAUAGCGAACAAGUACAGUGAUGGAAAGAUGAAAAGAACUUUGAAAAGAGAGUGAAAAAGUACGUGAAAUUGUUGAAAGGGAAGGGUUUGAGAUCAGACUCGAUAUUUUGUGAGCCUUGCCUUCGUGGCGGGGUGACCCGCAGCUUAUCGGGCCAGCAUCGGUUUGGGCGGUAGGAUAAUGGCGUAGGAAUGUGACUUUGCUUCGGUGAAGUGUUAUAGCCUGCGUUGAUGCUGCCUGCCUAGACCGAGGACUGCGAUUUUAUCAAGGAUGCUGGCAUAAUGAUC